GUGCUCACUUUGGCAGCACAAAUACUAAAAUUGGAACAAUACAGAGAUUAGCAUGGCCACUGCGCACAAGGAUGACAUGCAAAUUCGUGAAGCAUUCCAUAUUUAA